AGUGAACGCUGGCGGUAGGCCUAACACAUGCAAGUCGAACGGCAGCACAGUAAGAGCUUGCUCUUACGGGUGGCGAGUGGCGGACGGGUGAGGAAUACAUCGGAAUCUACUUUUUCGUGGGGGAUAACGUAGGGAAACUUACGCUAAUACCGCAUACGACCUACGGGUGAAAGCAGGGGAUCUUCGGACCUUGCGCGAUUGAAUGAGCCGAUGUCGGAUUAGCUAGUUGGCGGGGUAAAGGCCCACCAAGGCGACGAUCCGUAGCUGGUCUGAGAGGAUGAUCAGCCACACUGGAACUGAGACACGGUCCAGACUCCUACGGGAGGCAGCAGUGGGAAUAUUGGACAGUGGGCGCAAGCCUGAUCCAGCCAUACCGCGUGGGUGAAGAAGGCCUUCGGGUUGUAAAGCCCUUUUGUUGGGAAAGAAAAGCAGCAGGUUAAUACCCCGCUGUUCUGACGGUACCCAAAGAAUAAGCACCGGCUAACUUCGUG
rnacentral:rRNA from 1 species